CCUACGGGGGGCUGCAGUGAGGAAUCUUCCACAAUGGGCGAAAGCCUGAUGGAGCAACUCCGCGUGCAGGAUGAAGGCCUUCGGGUUGUAAACUGCUUUUAUGAGUGAAGAAUAUGACGGUAACUCAUGAAUAAGGGUCGGCUAACUACGUGCCAGCAGCCGCGGUCAUACGUAGGACCCAAGCGUUAUCCGGAGUGACUGGGCGUAAAGAGUUGCGUAGGUGGUUUGUUAAGUGAAUAGUGAAAGCUAGCGGCUCAACCGUAUAGAUUAUUAUU
rnacentral:rRNA from 1 species